rnacentral:misc_RNA from 1 species
AACGCAUAUUGCGCCCAUUGGUAUUCCGAUGGGCAUGCCUGUUCGAGCGUCAUUUCAACCCUCAAGCUAUACUUUUGCUUGGUGUUGGAGCUUCUAUAACUUAAAUGUUAUAGACUCUAAAAGAUCUUGGCGGGAUUUUUAUAAACUCAAACGUAGUAAUUACUUUUCGUUUAGAGAUAUAUAAGAAUUCUUUAGCCAUCUAUCUAUUUAUAUUUUAUAAAGUUGACCUCGGAUCAGGUAGGAAUACCCGCUGAACUUAA